AUUGCUUCUUGGCCUUUUGGCUAAGAUCAAGUGUAAAAUUUUUUUUUUUUGUGGAACCGCCAUACUGUUUUCCAUAGUGGCUGCAUCAGUCUCUUAUCUUUUGAUACUAGCUGUUCAAACAGGUGUGAUUUGGCAUCUCAUAGUGGUUUCGAUUUGCAUUUCCUCGAUGAUGGGUGAUGUUGAACAACCU